GAAAUCCAUGUACGACGCUUUUAUCCAUUUUAGCUCUUCGGGUUUCUUCUUUAAGCAAUGGCGAUCACUCCUUCCCUUCACUUCACUUCCCCAUCCCUCUCUCCUCUUUUCUCCCCCAAAACCCACAGCUCCUUCAUCUAUCCUUUCUCUCAACCACAAAAUUCCAUUCGUAAACUUCACUGUUGCAGUUUUCUUAACGUUUGUUCCCGCCAGAAUUCCCCAUGUGCCGUGAAUUUGAACUCUCGGAUUGUAAAGGCCCAAGCCUCUCUUCAAGGGGAGCCCAUGGUUCCCCCUUUCAACGUUCUGAUCACUGGGUCAACCAAAGGAAUAGGGUAUGCACUGGCCAAAGAGUUUUUAAAAGCUGGCGACAAUGUCAUAAUUUGCUCAAGAUCAGCUGAACGGAUUGAAUCUGCUCAUCAGAGCCUGAGAGAAGAAUUUGGGGAGCAGCAUGUGUGGGCUACCACAUGUGAUGUUAGACAAGGACAAGAUGUGAAGAAUUUAGUUGCAUUUGCACAAAAAAACUUGAACUACAUUGAUAUAUGGAUUAAUAAUGCAGGAUCAAAUGCAUAUAGCUAUAAACCAUUGGCAGAAGCUUCAGAUGAAGAUCUUAUCGAUGUUGUAACUACAAACACCCUCGGGUUGAUGAUAUGUUGUCGAGAGGCAAUAAAGAUGAUGUUAAACCAACCGAGAGGGGGUCAUAUAUUCAACAUUGAUGGGGCUGGUUCAGAUGGAAGACCAACCCCUAGAUUUGCUGCAUAUGGAGCUACAAAACGAAGUGUGGUGCAUUUAACAAAAUCAUUGCAGGCAGAACUGCGGAUGCAAGACGUUAAAAAUGUGGUGGUGCAUAAUUUGUCGCCUGGAAUGGUCACAACCGAUCUUCUAAUGUCUGGUGCUACCACGAAGCAGGCCAAGUUUUUCAUCAAUGUUUUGGCAGAACCUGCUGAAGUGGUAUGAUUCAUCUAUGCAUCCCUGUCAUGAGUAUUAGAUUAUCCAUAUGUUGAUGGUCUUGAACAAGCCAUUGCUCAUCAAUGGUCGCAGACUACCUUGUUCCUAAUAUCAGAUCUUCUGUUGCUAAUGGAUCAAUGAAGCCCACUUACAUUCGUUUCCUCACUGGGAUAAAAGCCUACUCCCAGAUAUUCUCAAGACUUGCUUUUGGUGCCAGAAGAAACAGAUAUCUGCUUGAAGAUUAAAGUUUCAGAGGUCCAUUUUUUUUUUUUUGUAUAUCUUGUCUAAACUACAGGCCUUCUUGUUGUAACAUUGCCACGAUCAUUUUCCAUUUUUGUAUUCUUUACAAUUAAGCCAAGUCUUUCAGGUAAAUCAUGUUUGUCCGUUGAGAAUAUUUUUGAUGAUCUUUUUUUAUUAAUUUGAACAAAGUCCCAACUAAUUCCGGGGAUGCACA